CUGUCUGUCUGGUACACAUUUUCAUUGAACACUUUCCAUUGUUCACACUUCGCAUAAUUAUUCAUUAAUC